UUUCCGUAGGUGAACCUGCGGAAGGAUCAUUAAUGAGUUGUCAUGGGGUUCGAUGCUGGCAGCCAGUUUUUGGAUGCGUGCUUGCCCUAACAAUCAUCUUCUUCCAAACACCUGUGCACAUUUUUGAGGGAGUCUUGAGUUGGUUGCCGCUCUUGGGUGAUUUUCUCACAUUCCCUUAAAUCAUUAUACGCUACUAACAAUGUUGAACGUGCUCUGUGCCGCAAGGCCAUUAAUAUAAUACAACUUUUAACAACGGAUCUCUUGGCUCUC
rnacentral:misc_RNA from 1 species